rnacentral:lncRNA from 1 species
UGAUUAAUAUAUAUCGUCGCAUCACCGACCAACUGACCAACUGUCCCUAACGCAAAUGGUAAAGAACUUGGUGGUUAGUAUCUGAGGUCCCGAGUUCGAAUUCUAGUUGAUUCAAUUUUCAGCUAAGUUUAUUUCUAAAUGAAACAAAUGAAAUGGGUACGUAGCAAGCUAAUAUAUAACAACUGAAGAGUCGCUACGGAUCGGCACUAAAUU